rnacentral:lncRNA from 1 species
CCGGUAAGUUGUAAAUACUGAAAUUUAAGUGAAAGGAAAGAGAAAAAGGCAGGAACCAAAGUCAAACUGUUUUCAUCUCUUUUCCAGAUUCUCUUCUGUGGGUGACCUUCUCAGCUGAAAUAGGAACGAGAAACAUUAGGAAAAAUAAUAAAUCAUCCUCCGGUGGUGGCUCUGUGGCAGCGAGCAUAUCAGUCACCGAGGACCAAUCUGCUAGCUGAAGCUUGAAGAGACUGCCUACCUGGUAACCAGACAAUGAAGGAAAGCUCCGAAGAAACCCCUUUCUUGACUAUAUUUCUGCCUGGAUAGAGCUUCUGCACUUUUCGGCGUGCCACCAAACACAUGGGGGUAAAAGGAGUUGAAGGAGCUUCUGACU